CUGAGAGGGACGGGGAACCAGCGAGGUGCUGCUCUGAUGGGUGCGGGGUGCAGGGCAGGCGGUGGCGGGUUCUCCAACCCCAUGUCCAGGUCUUCCCGGCCCCUCCUCCCAUCACCAAGGUCCUUGUGACUGUCCAGGGGUGAAGGACCCGAUGCGCUUUGGUCCUUAGCAAAACAGAAGGAAAAUCCGACCCAGGGCCUCUCCGCCAGACCAUGUUCUGCCCUUUCUCAGUCUCCGUAGCGUGAAAUCCACCUCUUCUGCACUCCUGCGGCCUCUGUCCACAUUCUUUGAUUCGAAGACUCUUAAGAUACUCUGAUUUCUGAUAGUCCAGCAUUUUGGAGAAUGUCUGUCAUCUUCCAAAUCCAUCUAUAAGUGGCUACUAAUCACUUUCUCCACCAACGAGGAUUCUGAACAGUUCCUGGUCAGUGGCUGUCAGAGUGCUUCAUUUAGGAGUGAUCAAUAUUUGUUCUAUCAGUGAACAAAUCAAUAAAUAAAUAAAAUCAAAAGGAGACUGCUUCACCCUAAAGUGGC
rnacentral:lncRNA from 12 species